rfam:Patagioenas fasciata monilis isolate BTP2013 Sc31e1R_399, whole genome shotgun sequence.
CCAAAGGCUCUUUUAAGAGCCACCGGAGGGGGGUCAGCAGAGGAGCU